rnacentral:rRNA from 1 species
GUUAAGCGACUAAGCGUACACGGUGGAUGCCCUGGCAGUCAGAGGCGAUGAAGGGCGUGCUAAUCUGCGAUAAGCGCCGGUAAGGUGAUAUGAACCGUUAUAACCGGCGAUACCCGAAUGGGGAAACCCAGUGUGACUCGUCACACUAUCAUUAACUGAAUCCAUAGGUUAAUGAGGCGAACCGGGGGAACUGAAACAUCUAAGUACCCCGAGGAAAAGAAAUCAACCGAGAUUCCCCCAGUAGCGGCGAGCGAACGGGGAGGAGCCCAGAGCCUGAAUCAGCAUGUGUGUUAGUGGAAGCGUCUGGAAAGGCGCGCGAUACAGGGUGACAGCCCCGUACACAAAAGCGCAUGUGCUGUGAGCUCGAUGAGUAGGGCGGGACACGUGGUAUCCUGUCUGAAUAUGGGGGGACCAUCCUCCAAGGCUAAAUACUCCUGACUGACCGAUAGUGAACCAGUACCGUGAGGGAAAGGCGAAAAGAACCCCGGCGAGGGGAGUGAAAAAGAACCUGAAACCGUGUACG